rnacentral:rRNA from 1 species
GAUGAACGCUAGCGGCAGGCUUAACACAUGCAAGUCGAGGGGUAGGUUACUUCGGUAAUUGAGACCGGCGCACGGGUGCGUAACGCGUAUACAAUCUACCUUUUACAGAGGGAUAGCCCAGAGAAAUUUGGAUUAAUACCUCAUAGUAUUUUUGAAUCGCAUGAUUUGAUUAUUAAAGUUCCAACGGUAAAAGAUGAGUAUGCGUCCCAUUAGCUAGAUGGUAAGGUAACGGCUUACCAUGGCUACGAUGGGUAGGGGUCCUG